rnacentral:lncRNA from 1 species
AUUCUUGCUAUAUUGGGCACUCUAUUGUCUAGCUAUAGGUGGGGGGGGGGGAUAGUUGUGAUUAUGAUUUGGGAGCAAUGAAAAAGGAAAAGAAAUAACUCUUUGUGUUUAAGUACUGGGUGGGGGGGGGGGGGGAGAGUUGUGAUUAUGAUUUGGGAGCAAUGAAAAAGGAAAAGAAAUUACUCUUUGUGUUUAAGUGAAUUGUCUUAUUGGGAUAAGUAGAAAAAUCUCUAGCUCAAGUUAUGAAAAGUCUUGGCCCCCAUCUAAAGAACAAAAAAAAAGAAAUAAAAUAUAAAAAGAAAAGAAAAAGAAAAAAAAAAGGGGCUAACAAAGUUGUUAGGAGCUAAGUAAUGUUUUGAGGUU